UACGUAGGGCGCAAGCGUUGUCCGGAAUUAUUGGGCGUAAAGAGCUCGUAGGCGGUCUGUCGCGUCUGCCGUGAAAAUCCGAGGCUUAACCUCGGGCCUGCGGUGGAUACGGGCAGACUAGAGGUAGGUAGGGGAGAAUGGAAUUCCCGGUGUAGCGGUGAAAUGCGCAGAUAUCGGGAGGAACACCGGUGGCGAAGGCGGUUCUCUGGGCAGAUACCGACGCUGAGACGCGAAAGCGUGGGAAGCAAACAGG
rnacentral:rRNA from 1 species